rnacentral:misc_RNA from 1 species
GAAAUGCGAUAAGUAGUGUGAAUUGCAGAAUUCAGUGAAUCAUCGAAUCUUUGAACGCACAUUGCGCCCGCCAGUACUCUGGCGGGCAUGCCUGUUCGAGCGUCAUUUCAACCCUCAAGCCCUGCUUGGCGUUGGGGCCCUACGGCUGCCGUAGGCCCUGAAAGGAAGUGGCGGGCUCGCUGCAACUCCGAGCGUAGUAAUUCAUUAUCUCGCUAGGGAGGCGCGGCGCGCUCCGGCCGUUAAAGACCCCAUCUUUAACCAAGGUUGACCUCGGAUCAGGUAGGAAUACCCGCUGAACUUAA